rnacentral:rRNA from 1 species
AUGAACGCUAGCGGCAGGCUUAACACAUGCAAGUCGAGGGGCAACACGGGUAGCAAUACCUGGUGGCGACCGGCGCAAGGGUGCGUAACGCGUGAGCAACAUGCCCUAUACAGGGGGAUAAUCCAGGGAAACUUGGUCUAAUAUCCCAUAGUAUUUAGAGGUGGCAUCACCACUAAAUUAAAGCUUCGGUGGUAUAGGAUUGGCUCGCGUGACAUUAGCUGGAUGGUGGGGUAACGGCUCACCAUGGCGAUGAUGUCUAGGGGUUCUGAGAGGAAGACCCCCACACUGGGACUGAGACACGGCCCAGACUCCUACGGGAGGCAGCAGUGAGGAAUAUUGGACAAUGGAUGGAAAUCUGAUCCAGCCAUGCCGCGUGCAGGAAGACGGCCCUAUGGGUUGUAAACUGCUUUUAUAUGGGAGCAAUAAGGUUUACGCGUAGACCGAUGAGAGUACCAUAUGAAUAAGCAUCGGCUAACUCCGUG